rnacentral:rRNA from 1 species
AUUGAACGCUGGCGGCAGGCCUAACACAUGCAAGUCGAGCGGAUGAAGGGAGCUUGCUCCUGGAUUCAGCGGCGGACGGGUGAGUAAUGCCUAGGAAUCUGCCUGGUAGUUGGGGAUAACGUCCGGAAACGGGCGCUAAUACCGCAUACGUCCUGAGGGAGAAAGUGGGGGAUCUUCGGACCCCACGCUAUCAGAUGAGCCUAGGUCGGAUUAGCUAGUUGGUGGGGUAAAGGCCUACCAAGGCGACGAUCCGUAACUGGUCUGAGAGGAUGAUCAGUCACACUGGAACUGAGACACGGUCCAGACUCCUACGGGAGGCAGCAGUGGGGAAUAUUGGACAAUGGGCGAAAGCCUGAUCCAGCCAUGCCGCGUGUGUGAAGAAGGUCUUCGGAUUGUAAAGCACUUUAAGUUGGGAGGAAGGGCAGUAAGUUAAUACCUUGCUGUUUUGACGUUACCAACAGAAUAAGCACCGGCUAACUUCGUG